AAGAGUUGCAAAACUCCCAAACCAUUGUGAACAUACCUUCAACCGUUGCUUCGGCGGGUUGGCCCCGGUCUCCCGGGGCCCCCGGCCCCCUGGGGCGCCCGCCGGAGGUACCUAACUCUUGAUUUUAAGGCCUCUCUGAGUACUGUACUUAAUAAGUCA
rnacentral:misc_RNA from 1 species